UAUCCUCUCUCUCACAACAUAAACUUUUCUAUUACACAAUCAAUUACUUCCUAAUGGUCCUCUACCCUCUUAAAUUUUUUUGUUACAGUUGCAAAUGAAUGUUAACAUUUAUCUAACUCUCAUUCUUUCCCAGAUUGUUCCCCUCUCUCGUCUCUUAGUAUAAAAAUCCCGUUUCUAUUUUUUACAAAAACCACCAACGAACAGGACGAUGUCAGUUCGAGAGUGAGCUUCUUCCCCUCUGUCUUUUUUUCUUUCCAAAUGAAAAUUGAAAACCUAAACCUUCACUGAUCUAUCCCUCCACUGUUACCAUUGCAAAAAAACCCAACAAAUCCGUGCUAGGAAAGGUCUACGAGAGAGAGACCUAACAAAGCUGCAAAAUCAUGCUAGUUUGGACACCUAAAAGAGAGAAACUGAGGAAAAUACUAUUUGGUUGAUACUGGAUAUCCAAAUGAGUAUGAGUAUUUGAGUCUUUACAAAGACGAGAGGUAUCACUUCUAAAAAUUUAGGCAUCGUGGAUAACCAAAUAGUUGGAAAAAAGUGUUUAAUUAUGCAUAUUCAUUACUAUCUAACGUGAUCGAAUGUUCUUUUAGUGUAUGGAAACAGAGAUGGAGAAUUUUACAAAACAUGCCUGCUUAUUCAUACAAAAUACAAGUUGAGAUUGUAGUUGCAUUAAUGACACUACAUAACUAUAUUAGAAAGAGAUCACAAGAUGAUGUAUCUUUUUUAGUAUAAUCACAAUCCCAAUUUAAUUACAUAUGACUUUCUAUCUAAUAUUCUUCAUCACUUGGUCAUUCAAGGAUCACA